rnacentral:rRNA from 1 species
AAGGAAUAUUGGUCAAUGGACGGAAGUCUGAACCAGCCAUCCCGCGUGCAGGAUGAAGGUCCUAUGGAUUGUAAACUGCUUUUAGCAGAGACGAAACGCUUUCAUUUAUGAGAGUCUGACGGUAUCUGCAGAAUAAGCACCGGCUAACUCCGUGCCAGCAGCCGCGGUAAUACGGAGGGUGCAAGCGUUAUCCGGAAUCACUGGGUUUAAAGGGUGCGUAGGCGGGAAAUUAAGUCAGUGGUGAAAUCCUGUCGCUUAACGAUAGAACUGCCAUUGAUACUGAUUUUCUUGAAUUGGGUUGAGGUUAGCGGAAUGUGACAUGUAGCGGUGAAAUGCAUAGAUAUGUCAUGGAACACCAAUUGCGAAGGCAGCUAACUGGGCCUUGAUUGACGCUGAGGCACGAAAGCGUGGGUAGCGAAC